rnacentral:rRNA from 1 species
AUUGAACGCUGGCGGUAUGCUUAACACAUGCAAGUCGAACGCGAACGCAUCUUCGGAUGUUAUUAGAGUGGCGGACGGGUGAGUAACGCGUGGGAAUCUACCUUAUAGUGGGGGACAGCCCGAGGAAACUCGGAUUAAUACCGCAUACCUUCUACGGAAGAAAGGCUUCGGCCGCUAUUAGAUGAGCCCGCGUUAGAUUAGCUAGUUGGUGAGGUAAGAGCUCACCAAGGCAACGAUCUAUAGCUGGUCUGAGAGGACGAUCAGCCACAUCGGGACUGAGACACGGCCCGGACUCCUACGGGAGGCAGCAGUGGGGAAUAUUGCACAAUGGAGGAAACUCUGAUGCAGCAACGCCGCGUGGAGGAUGACACAUUUCGGUGCGUAAACUCCUUUUAUAUGGGAAGAUAAUGACGGUACCAUAUGAAUAAGCACCGGCUAACUCCGUGCCAGCAGCCGCGGUAAUACGGAGGGUGCAAGCGUUACUCGGAAUCACUGGGCGUAAAGCGCGCGCAGGCGGUCUUUUAAGUUGGAUGUGAAAGCCUACGGCUCAACCGUAGAACUGCAUCCAAAACUAUUAGACUAGAGUGUGGGAGAGGAAGAUGGAAUUAGUUGUGUAGGGGUAAAAUCCGUAGAGAUAACUAGGAAUACCAAAAGCGAAGGCAAUCUUCUGGAACACUACUGACGCUGAGGCGCGAAAGCGUGGGGAGCAAACGGGAUUAGAUACCCCGGUAGUCCACGCAGUAAACGAUGAAUGUUAGUCGUCGGGGGCCUCGUGUCUUCGGUGAUGCAGCUAACGCAUUAAACAUUCCGCCUGGGGAGUACGGUCGCAAGAUUAAAACUCAAAGGAAUAGACGGGGACCCGCACAAGUGGUGGAGCAUGUGGUUUAAUUCGAAGAUACGCGAAGAACCUUACCUAGCCUUGACAUAUAUUAGAAUCCACCAGAGAUGGAGGAGUGCCUUCGGGAGCUUUUAUACAGGUGCUGCACGGCUGUCGUCAGCUCGUGUCGUGAGAUGUUGGGUUAAGUCCCGCAACGAGCGCAACCCUCGUCACUAGUUACUAACGGUUCGGCCGAGGACUCUAGUGAGACUGCCUUCGUAAGGAGGAGGAAGGUGAGGACGACGUCAAGUCAUCAUGGCCCUUACGGCUAGGGCAACACACGUGCUACAAUGGUUGGGACAGUGAGACGCGAUACCGCGAGGUGGAGCAAAUCUAUAAACCCAAUCUCAGUUCGGAUUGUAGUCUGCAACUCGACUACAUGAAGCUGGAAUCACUAGUAAUCGUAGAUCAGCUAUGCUACGGUGAAUACGUUCCCGGGUCUUGUACUCACCGCCCGUCACACCAUGGGAGUUGAUUUCACCCGAAGCGGGGAAGCUAAACUGGCUACCCUCCACGGUGGAAUUAGCGACUGGGGUG